rnacentral:tRNA from 1 species
GCGGAUAUGGCGGAAUUGGCAGACGCGCUAGAUUCAGGUUCUAGUGAGCACUUAUCGCUCAUGCAAGUUCAAGUCUUGUUAUCCGCA